UACGUAGGGACCAAGCGUUGUUCGGAUUUACUGGGCGUAAAGGGCGCGUAGGCGGUGCGGUAAGUCACUUGUGAAAUCUCCGAGCUUAACUCGGAACGGCCAAGUGAUACUGCAGUACUAGAGUGCGGAAGGGGCAAUCGGAAUUCUUGGUGUAGCGGUGAAAUGCGUAGAUAUCAAGAGGAACACCUGAGGUGAAGACGGGUUGCUGGGCCGACACUGACGCUGAUGCGCGAAAGCCAGGGGAG
rnacentral:rRNA from 1 species